CACUUUACACGGUAACGUAUAUAUUGUCUAAAUUAGACGCUGGUAUUCUGAGUGUUAAAAGUUAUUUUCUAGAGCUGAUAUUUUAUUUCUCAUACAAGUAAAUGAUUUUUUUCUGUUAUGUAUACUAUAUCUAGUUUAUUAAGUGUAAUUACGAGUCCCAGUUUUGCGAUCUCCUUUGUACAUUAUACAUGUUAUAAUUUUAUAACAUGUAUGUUUUGUCGUGUAUGUCGUCCAAUAUCGACCACCAAAUUGUCGUCCAGUAUCAAUCAAUCAACCGCCAAAAUCAAAUUUCUUUUAUUUAAAGAAGGAAAGUGACAUAGGAGAGCGAGAAUACGGCUUUGAGGCUGCUCCAAUGUUCCAAAAACGACAAAUGUGAAGUUUAGGCACACGACAAAUGCAGAAACCAAAAAAAUAUUAAUUACGUUACUUGUGAUUGUAAAAAUAAAAUUUGAAUAAAAGUGUGUAUUCUAACAUCUAAAUAUCUUGUAUUUUUAACAUUAUUAAUCAUUCAUAUCGACAUCUACUAAUUAAAUAACUGGUCAAUACUGGACAAUAAUUUUUCAUUUACUACUAAUUACAACAUUUUUGAUCUUGCAAAUUUUCAAUUCUUAUUAUUGCAUUUCAUAACUUAACUUCCCUCCUUUUAGUACGUUCUACCUGUAUUACAGAUAUUUCUUCGAAUGUUUGAUUUUUAUCUGUUCUAGUUCAAGGUAUAGAAAAAAAUCCCAAGACAAACGAUAUUGCAUAACUCUCUCCUAAAUCAUAAAGAUCCAAACAUUCAUGUAGCAUAUAUAAUGCAAAAGAUGUACAGAAUAUCUUAAAUAUAAUACUCUUUAUAAUAUUUAGUGGUUGAACGUGUUUUUAGUUCUGUUCAUAAGAAAGUGAAUAUGCAUAAAAAUACAAGUGUAUUAAAUAGCAUGUAAAUGCUAUAAUAAAUACAAUAACGCGAAAAAUAUCUUUAUAUUCAAUCGAAUCACCUGUGUACUAGUUUUUCACUAUUACAUUACGCUAUCUGAGGACAAACAUUCAGAAUGUUGAUCAAAAUGAUGACACAAAGGUACCAAAUAUGGAACGCAUUGGAAAGAAUAUAAGCUGCAAAGAACGAAUGGUGGAAAAAUAAAUUAUUAACACAAUUGUGUAUGACACCACAGUAGUUAAAAAAGUUUGCUAUUAAAAUUCUCUCACGCAUUUUAAUUUUGCUGAAAAGGUAGGAAAUAUCGGAAGUUUUGACUGGUUUUAAUUCAAUCGAUAACCGAUUAUAUCUCUUUUUGCUUUUUGAUCCUAUUUAAUCAGUUAAAGA
rnacentral:misc_RNA from 1 species